GAUUAACGCUGGCGGCGUGCAUAACACAUGCAAGUCGAACGAUGAAACUUUUUUGAUUUCUUCGGAAUGAUUAAAAGUGGAUUAGUGGCGGACGGGUGAGUAACGCGUGAGUAACCUGCCUUAGAGAAGGGGAUAGCCUUUGGAAACGAAGAAUAAUACCCUAUGAAACCAUAACCUCGCAUGAGGAAUUGGUCAAAGAUUUUUCGCUCUAAGAUGGACUUGCGUCUGAUUAGUUAGUUGGUGGGGUAACGGCCCACCAAGACAGCGAUCAGUAGCCGGCUUGAGAGAGUGUACGGCCACAUUGGGACUGAGACACGGCCCAGACUCCUACGGGAGGCAGCAGUGGGGAAUUUUGCACAAUGGGGGAAACCCUGAUGCAGCGACGCCGCGUGAUUUAGAAGGCCUUCGGGUUGUAAAAAUCUUUUCUAUGGGAAGAAAAUGACAGUACCAUAGGAAUAAGGACCGGCUAAUUACGUG
rnacentral:rRNA from 1 species